rnacentral:rRNA from 1 species
UACAGAGGCCUCGAGCGUUAGGCGGAAUCACUGGGCUUAAAGCGUGUGUAGGUGGAUGCCUAAGUACCUUGUGAAAUCCCACGGCUUAACCGUGGAACUGCUUGGUAUACUGGGUGUCUUGAGCCACUCAGGGGCUACCGGAACAAAUGGUGGAGCGGUGAAAUGCGUAGAUAUCAUUUGGAACGCCAAUGGUGAAAACAGCUCGCUGGGGGUGUGCUGACGCUGAGACACGAAAGCCAGGGGAGCGAACGGG